AUGAACGCUGGCGGCGUGCCUAAUACAUGCAAGUCGAGCGAACGGACGAGAAGCUUGCUUCUCUGAUGUUAGCGGCGGACGGGUGAGUAACACGUGGAUAACCUACCUAUAAGACUGGGAUAACUUCGGGAAACCGUAGCUAAUACCGGAUAAUAUUUUGAACCGCAUGGCUCAAAAGUGAAAGACGGUCUUGCUGUCACUUAUAGAUGGAUCCGCGCUGCAUUAGCUAGUUGGUAAGGUAACGGCUUACCAAGGCAACGAUGCAUAGCCGACCUGAGAGGGUGAUCGGCCACACUGGAACUGAGACACGGUCCAGACUCCUACGGGAGGCAGCAGUAGGGAAUCUUCCGCAAUGGGCGAAAGCCUGACGGAGCAACGCCGCGUGAGUGAUGAAGGUCUUCGGAUCGUAAAACUCUGUUAUUAGGGAAGAACAUAUGUGUAAGUAACUGUGCACAUCUUGACGGUACCUAAUCAGAAAGCCACGGCUAACUACGUG
rnacentral:rRNA from 1 species